rnacentral:lncRNA from 1 species
UGUGUUACAAAAUGAAAGAAAAAUAAUUACUUUUAACUAAAAGGUAAAUAUUCGUAACUAUUUUCUAAAAAUUUAAGUAAAAAAAGGUUUGAAUCCUCUAGUAACACCCCAACCCAUUGGGUGGUCCAUCUGGCUUAAGGUUAUACACCAUAUUUCCUGACAGAUUAAUGAGUGUUACAAGUUUUGGUAUUAGAGCCUAGGUUUAUUCGACCCUCGAAAACCAAAGGCUAAAUCACACCCCACUAUGCAUGAUAUAUCUUUGGCUUAGUCCCUG